AAGAGAAUGAGAGAGUGCUGCUCUUUCUUCUAGAAUCAAAAUGCAUCUGCAGGAAGUCUGCAUCCUGAAUCUUUACAGUUAUGCACAAUUGGAAAACAAGAACAUCUGAAAUUACUGCUAAAUGCAAUUGUACUGAUUUGAUGCUUUUAAAAGCUUCAAAGUGAUGUAACUUGUAUUUUUUGGGUGGCUCUCUGACUGUGUAAUACAGCUGUGUGGUGUAGAGUCAGGCAGGGGCAGCCCAGGCUCUCAUAUUCAACACCAGCACGUUUCAGUCGAUCUGCGGCAGCCUCCACCUCCAGCAUCAUCAGCAUCAUCAUCAGGUGGAGAUCGGGGAGGCUUUUGGAACUCAGCUGGUGCACGGACACGACAGACGCAAGCCCAUUCGAGAACAAUGCUCCUAACAGUGGGGGGUGUGGAAUGAGGAAGCAGCUACCGGGACUGCUCGGUGUUCUUUUUCCCGCCCAGACGUGCUUCUCACUCGGACUCGGACAUGACAGCCGGGCGGUUAACGCAGCAUCCCCGGCUGGAGGAGUAAAUGGGACCGCACAUCGUCCGAGCGUUAGAAAGAUGGAGCGAUUUGUUCUGCUCGUUCUCAGCUGUUUUGGCGUCUCACAAGUCUCAGCGGAUAGCUUGUCUCCUCCUGUCAAUGUUACCAUCAAAGCAGUGAAAGCCAACUCUGCUGUGGUGACAUGGGACAUCCCAGAGGGAGAUCCUGUCAUUGGCUUUGCCAUUACACAGCAGAAAAAAGACGUGCGCAUGCUACGAUUCAUCCAGGAAGUCAACACCACCACACGCUCCUGUGCAUUAUGGGAUUUAGAGGAAGAGACAGACUACAUCGUCCAUGUCCAGUCCAUCAGCAUGUUCGGGACGAGCCCACAAAGCGAGCCUUUACGCUUCCGAACGCCAAAGGAGGCCGAGACUCAGGGUUCUAAGAAUAAAGACGAAGUAACGAUGGAGGAAGUGGGUCAGACCAAUCAACUGAGGGCGGGAGAGCUCAUCAUAAUCGUUGUGGUGCUCAUCAUGUGGGCAGGCGUGAUUGCUCUCUUCUGUCGUCAGUACGACAUCAUCAAAGACAACGAACCCAACAACAACAAGGACAAAGCCAAAAACUCUUCGGAGUGCAGCACUCCUGAACACCCGACAGGGGGGCUGUUGCGCAGUAAGGUAUAAUCCACCAACCCCCUCUUCCCCCGAGGUGCCUCCUCCCUCAACGGCGCCGGGCAGUUCCCCAAGAACAAUAAGAUGCCAUCUGUCAACAUCAUUGAAGUGUGACUGUCUUCCCCAUAUGCUAAAGACAUUGUGUUUUCGCAAAUAAGCAAGUCCUAUUAAGCAAAUCUGCUUGUCAGAAUGUGCCGCUUACGUCUCCUUUGCCGCGGGCCUGCCACUGGAGCAAAGCCUGCCAGCACGCUGGGAAUCAGGAUUGACUUGGCCGGUGCCGUCCUGAGAGGAGGUCCCACAGUGGAGAGACUGCGGGGAGGGUUGAGCGGAUCGGUCGUGCUUAACAACCACUAUACCACGGGGGCGGCAGGAAUUAGGGCCAAAUGGUCCUGGCAGUGGACAGACUGCUGAUAAACCAACCCCAGGGACCAAAGUCGAUAAGCAGAGCCGGAGACCUUUUCAUCCACUCUCCCUCUUUCAUCUGACUUCCGUCUUUUAGUGGGUCACGAUUGGCCUGUACUUUUUUGGGUGGCACCCAAUGUUUCUCAGUAUUCCUCCGUGGUGUGAUUUUAAUCUCAUCCUCUAGAUGUUGUUUUGUCCUAACAUGUUCUAAAUCCAACUUUCUUACGAGUGAAGGUGAAUCAUUUAUCAUGAAACUGUAGUUUUGUCACAGAAGGUACUGCCAGUACAUUUCUGUUGCUCUGGUACUUUUUACACCCCACCAAGGCAGAAAAGUCUGUCGUCCUGUGGGAAAUAUUUUCAGUCUGGCGAGCUUGUUUCCCCCCUCAGGGAAUCCAGACUCCACCUGUUAAAUUUAGGAGCGAUUUCUAAAAAUGGGCUGUUCUAACGCCAUAGCAGCUUCUGAGGCAUUGCUCAGUUUGGUGUCUCAUUGGCUCACAUUUGCUUUUUAGCAACACCACCUUGACUCUCUUUCAUGGUUUUAAUAUAUUCUAUUCUUUACAUUCCACAUCCAGAAUGAGCUGUCUUUUAUUUCUCUCUGAAGGUGAUGGAUUUCUCAGCAUUCUGGGUAAAACAAAAAGGACUUGACCCAGAGUGCCUCAUCUAAAUAAUGAAUUUUCAAAGGGGCUUGGAUGCGUCUACAGAGAAGUGGCCUUUGUAGCAACAUUAGAGGAGAUUCUUCAAGCAAUAACAGCCCUGACACGAGGACUUCGUGCGCAAUGAGGUCACAUUCUGUAGAAAAACAACACACAAGCAUAACCUCUCGGCGUCCGAUGUUAACACGCACAUUAUGAUAAGGAAAGAUGAUGUGCCUCAUUUUCAGACAUUUGAUUUCUUAUGGAGGCAUUUUAUGGGUUCAGCUUUGAGGUUCUCUUAGGAACAGAUGUCAUCGAAGCAGAAGGGCUUCUAACGAGUAUUUUUAAGUCAAAGCCGGUAUUUGUCCAUGUAGGCUAGAUAUAGUACAUAAUUAGCAUUUGGAUUAUAAAUUGAGUAGACACUCGGUAUCAGUCACUAACUGUAUUAUGUGAACAUUAUAAGGACUGAUACAUGGCCAGUAUCCUCUAUGGUUUGUAUAGUAGCUAUUUUAUGUUUGGGGAGGUCAAAUUGUUGAAGUAUCAUUUAUUACCCCAUACCGGCCCCUUGGACAGCCACUCAGUCCACUGACUGGUGAUGUCUAUUCCCCCCGAACACAAAUUGAUUUAGUCUGAUUAACCAGCUUGUAGGUUUGCUAAGAGUCAUCUUACAUCAUCAAGCCAUGGCACAGUAGCACUCAAGGGGUGACUAUAAAAACGAUAAGUAAAUAUUAAGUAGCGGGGUAAUAUUUUUAGUUUUAAAGAAAUAUGAAAAUGAAUCGUGAAAUCUGUCAAUCCAAGUACCCGAGGGCUGAUCCCAAAGUCCUGCCUUAAAAAUCACCUUUAUUUAUUGCUAAUAGGAUAGCGCUCUAUCUCACAUGUAACAUAUACCUGUCAACAUUAUACUUUUCAUGAAAUAAUCGAAUGUGUGUGUACAGUAACCAGAAAAAUUGACAUGCAGCUGCAGAAUCAGGCUGGAUUAAUGCGUACAUAUUUAAUGUGUAAAUACAUUAUGAAAUAUGACAAAUGAAAACCACAGUAUUGUGCAAAAAUCUUCGGCCAACUUUAGAUUAUUGAGUUUUGUAAUGCUACAAUUGAUUUUGAGUUUGGAAACCUCCUUUCUACCACUUACUGUCAAAAUUACGAAAAACAACAACAAAGCUUGUGGUGGCCUAAAGCUUUUGCAGAGUACUGUAAAUAAGUAACCUUAGAGGGUGCUAUUCCAGGUAUAAGUUACACGCCCUACUAAUAAUGAUCGUUUCAUAGCACUUAUCAACUGUAGUGUGUUUAUAUUACAUUUUGUCACUGUGUUGUUAAUGUGCAAGAAGAGAAAAACUACCUAUGUAAAGUUGAUCCAAGUACAUUACAUGAGUAAGGAGCCAUUUAAUGGCUGGGAACUCAUCAUCUUAUUUCAUCAGAGACUCUGCGGUGUGUUAGCAGACAGGAAGAUCCGUGCAUGCAAGAUAAAAAGUUCCCAGCUCGGAGUGUGGUGGGUAAAGUGGGUAAAGCCAAUGCAAUGUCACCAAUUUGUCUGGUAUGCACCGUUUACAGCCUUUUCAUAACCCAACCUUUUUAUGAAUUUAGUUGAUCAAAAAUAGAUUGGAAAGUGACGUCGGUAGCCACUGCAAGGUUUAUCGGUGUUAUUUUGUGCUGCAGGAGAAGAAGAACUUGAAUAGAAUUACUGAUGUCAACUGUGGUGGGAGCCUUUUAUUAGCCCCUGUUCUAGUCUUCACAUGAGUGGCAAAGGUUAGGAGUGCACGCCAGCAAGCACUGACUCAGACAAGAGACAACAGUCGCACAAAGUGUGGAAUGCCGAAUCAAUUUUUCUCCCUUUUAAUCAAUCCAAUCCCUCAAUAAGCAUCCAUCCGGAUCGGAACAAUUGUAUCCCUGAGCAGUUUAUCAAUUUAAGUCAUGUUUCUUUCAAGUUAGAGCUUCUCAACAAUGCUAUAUUUAAAUACAGUACCUUUUGUUAUGUUUUAUUAAGUUAAAAAUUAGGUUACAUUUCAAUCAAAUUAGCUGUAAUGUAAAUGUUCAUUUCUGUAUGGGAUUAUUUUUAAUUUUUGAAUAAUCUUCAAGGCAGAUGGUGAACAAAUUCGUACGCAUUCACUUUGCUCUUUUCAUCGCUUUUACGUUUUGACAAAAAAAGUUAAGGAUAAAGUAGUCAUUCUCUCUCUAAAUACACGCACAUCCGGUGUUCUUCAUGUAUACUUUAAAAUGAAAACAAUUGUCUGAUAACAUCAGGGAUAAAAAAAAAGUCAAAAUAUACAAAACAAUGAAAAUUUUGAAUAUUUUCCUUGAAUUCCUAUACAGUCGUCGAAUUUCUCAGCUUCACUCAAUCACCGUUUUCACGUUCAUGCUGUUUCAUGCUUGAAUACAGCGUUUUAUUCGUCAGAAAUAUGCAGAUUUAAGCUAAUGUUAUGUACUCUUUGCCUAAAUUAAGCAUUUUCAAGCAUAAAAACGGCUAAAUGAACUCAAAUAUAAAUAUGAGGCAUAUAAAAGACACAUUCAAAGACGUUGACGUAGUAUUCUACGCUCGUCACUAGGUGUCAGUAACGUUCUGUGAGACACACAAUCACCAGACCUUGAAUUAUAUCACAACAGGCACAAUAAUCCCUAAUAAAAACACGGGCUACUGUUGCAGCCGUAACCCACGGCAAAAUGAAACUCAACUGUAAACCCCCGACGUCACUUCCUGCCACUCACGCCACUCAUUCUGCUCCCCGAUGGAACACAUUUAUAGCGACACACGAGUACAAGUCUUAUUUAUGUCUUAAAUGGCUUAUUUACUCCGAUUAUGUCUACUAUAUUGGGUAAAGGUGACUAUAGGGGUGUUACUUCAUGUCUAUUGGGCUCUAAUAAUGUUAAAAACUGUAUUUAGUCAUUUGUAAUGCGUCAACAUUUGCUCAUGGACACUGCGAAAGAAAACAAAUCAGUUCUAUUCAAUUUGUGUGUAUUUGGCUACUGGUGUAUUUGGCUAGAGCAGGUUACACACUGCAUAUUAACACCGGUUAACCACAGCUCUAUAUAUCCUCCUCAACCAGAAUCAAUAAUGAUGUGUACUUCCAGAACUCAGUAUCUAUCUAUUUACCGAAAGCCCUUCAGUCAGGUGGAAGUUCAUCUUUAGAUGCUGGGACUUGCUCUGAAUGCAAACAGCUCACCGUGGUUUCUCGUGCUUUUUGCUCUAAAUGAGUUUAUUGACCAUUAUUUUGUAUGGGUCCGAAAGGGUGUCUGGGGACAGGUUCAUCUGUGAAAUACAGUUGGACGAGUCAGCAUGGGUCCGAAAAGAUGACUGCUUUAUUAGUGCUAACAUGUUUCUAUUUAUUGUGUGCAGUGUACAGCAGUUAUUGCUUAACGAGGGCUAGCAUGGUUUCAUUAACUAUUAUGCACAAGGUUACACAACUUCACUUAUGAAGUAUAUGGUGUAUGCUUACUUGUGUUUGCUUAAAAUAAAAAAUAUCAAAUAUUUUCUCCAAAGGAAUGUCUGCACUCUUUCCUGUGGUUAAUAACUCUCCUCGUAGAAAUAACUUGCCACAUCUUUUACUGUCUAAAUAGCUGGCAACACAGCACAGUGAACAUGUGAACAAAUUGUGUCAUGAAUUAAAGAAAGAUCACACAAGUUUUCUACUAAUGACAUUAAAACAUUACAUCCUAUCAUAACAAUCCCUGCUAGCGAACCUUUUGUGGCCAUCCUAAAACUUUAAAUACAUACCUGUAUGUACUCUAAAUUGCACAUCUGAUUAGUUUAAAUAAACACAAAAAAAAAACGGGAAUGCGGGAAAUGAGAAGUUCCAAAUCUGAUUUGUGGCAUGCACUGUAGGUCAGCAAUCUUGCCCUGGAAGAAUGGAAAUUUGGCGUGUAAAAGGAGGAAAUAAGAACAUCCCUGUAAUUAAAUGGCAAAGGUGUAGUGGAACUCUAUAUGACAACUUGGGAAAGAACUCACAUUACCACCACUCGCAUCAUAUAUACUUGUAUAUAUAUAUAUAAUAAAUUAGAGGAA